UAUAGCAUGUCAACAGAAGUCAGAGGACAGCUUUCUCAACUCUGGCCAGGUUGAGGCAGGGUCUUGCUUGGUUUUUGCUGCUGCAUUGGGUACUCCAUGCUAGUUGGCUCACAAGUUCUGGAAGGUUUCCUGUCUGUGUCUCCCAGUUCACCCAGGAGUGCUUGGAUGACAGACGUGUACAGUUGGAUAUGGUUCUUUGUGUGGAUUCCAAGGAUUGAAUUUGGGUCACCAGAUGCACUUGCUGUCAGGGAAAAUGCCAAGUUGCUAUCUGGUGGUGAAUUAAACAGAUACACAUGCAUCCAUCAAAUACUUGAGUGCCCACUGCAUGCCAGCCCCUGCAGGAGGAGGGAAGAGGAAAGAAACAAGGCAGAGAAUGCACUCUAACUCCCAGGAGUCUGCACACUGGUCCAAGAUUCAGGUAUGUGUAGUCAGUCAUACCACGUGUGUCAGCACAUUCACAAAAGCCACGGGAAUGUGACUAAUCACUGCAAAGGCAGGAAGAGUCACUUGCCAAAGGCAAGCUGUGAAUUGAAUCUUAAAUCAAGAAUACAGAUCUACCUGGCAGAGACAAGGGGAGGAAAGAUGUCUUAGGCAAUGGGAACAGAAAGCAGGCUUGAAACAGCAUGGGAAACAAGGCUUAAGCAGGACUCAGCUAUAUGAGUAUGCCAGGAGAACGGCUGAGAGGUAGUUGGGAUAAAGAAUAUGGAGGAGCUUUCCUGCAUGUCAUCCUGUAACUAGUUGCCACAGUCUGCACUCAUUCCCCAAAGUUUGUGUAUUGAAAACUUAGUCCCCAAUGCCAGGUGGUACCAUUAGGAGAUAAAGAAGUCAUGAGGGCUCCAUCAUGAAAGGACUGAUGUCAUGUUCAUAAUAGUGGGUUUGUUUGACACUCACUUGCUCUCUCCUGGCCUCUCUUAUCCCCCCUUCUUACUUUUGUUAAGAUGAUGUAGCAUAAAGGACCUCUCCAGAUGUUAGCAUCACAAGUGCAGUGUGAUAAGGUCAACCAGUCAACCAGGCACAGUUUUAAAACAAGUUAUUUAUAGCAAUUUACCCUAUAGUUGAAUGUUCCAUUCUGGAAAGACGCUUAAGACUCUGGAAAUUUUAAAGGAAUCUCAUUGAGAUUCAGAGGUAAACAACUCAGGAGUCUCAGGAAGUCCCUGAAAUUUACCAGAUUUACAAAGCCUAUCCUUCUCUAGCAGUAAAGACUGCUGAAGAGAGGAAGCACUCUAACUUGAGAUACCUGCCAAUCAUGCAGAGAGUUUCAGGGUUCAGCUUUGUGAAUCAUCACGUGUGCUGGGGUAAGCCUUUGAAUUCUUCAUGUUCCUGUAAGUAACUCUUUACCCAUACUCCAGUAAGUAGUUCCAAUAAACCAAUUGGUUCACCACGUUGGGCUUUAGUAGAUCGUUACUUUGGUCUGUUGUUGGUUCUUAACUGGGUAAGUAGAUGUUUGUUCUUGUCUCCCCAGGAACAGCAUUGCAUAUCACAAAGGAAUCUGAGCCACUACACACCACCACCCUCCUUCCAUCAUAGUUUCAUUCAAUAUAUUCACUGAACACUCUUGCCAUCAUUCACUCUCCUUAGAGUAUGCAAAAGGAUCCUUGUGAACUUGGAAUCUGUAUGAUGCCAAACCUGUAUGAUAUUGGAUUUCCUGGCCUCUGAGACUAUGAGAAAUGGAUUUCUUUUCUUAACUCUCCAGUCUACGAUGUUCUGCAAAAGCAACAUAAAACAAACUAAGACAAGUCCUUCCCAAACUGUUUCUCAGUCUAAGACCUCCUUGGUGAAAUUGGAAUCUUUCUUGGAAGUCCAGCUUGAGAACACAGGAAAGGAGAACUGAUUGGAUGGAGGGAGUCUGCCCCAGAGCUGCACACCCUCUUCACCACUGGUCCCUGUGGAAGCUUUAGCUGGAGCUUCAUGGAGCAACGGACAUACAUGGCUCUAGGAAGAGCAGCCACACAAGGAUUUUAGACUGGAAAUAACUCAAUCAGACAGGCAGGAGUUAAACUCGGUGGGAAUUUAGAAGACUGAUAUUAUCCAAAUAUAGACUUGUCUGUAGUAGUGAAACACCCUGGAUUUUUGAUAUCAUUGUCUUUGUACCCAAGCUGCUAAACAUUAUGGAUUUUGUACUUUCCUGCUCCCACUGCUGGAAUGAUUGUUCCAAUUUUUGAAAAGUAGAGAGGAAAAGUUCCCUACGUUAAUGUCUCCCCUGAUGCCAGGGAACCAAUAUUAAUGUGUCAAGCAA